UACGUAGGGGGCCAGCGUUGUCCGGAAUCAUUGGGCGUAAAGAGCUUGUAGGCGGUCUGUCGCGUCUGCUGUGAAAAUCCGGGGCUCAACCCCGGACUUGCAGUGGGUACGGGCAGACUAGAGUGUGGUAGGGGAGACUGGAAUUCCUGGUGUAGCGGUGAAAUGCGCAGAUAUCAGGAGGAACACCGAUGGCGAAGGCAGGUCUCUGGGCCACUACUGACGCUGAGAAGCGAAAGCAUGGGGAGCGAACAGG
rnacentral:rRNA from 1 species